rnacentral:rRNA from 1 species
CCAGCAGCCGCGGUAAUACGAGGGGUGCAAGCGUUAUUCGGAAUCAUUGGGCGUAAAGGGUACGUAGGCGGUAUGUUGAGUCAGCUGUUAAAUUUUCCGGCCCAACUGGAAGCCAGCAGCAGAUACUGAUGUGCUAGAGGGUGAGAGAGAGAAGUGGAAUUCUCGGAGUAGCGGUAAAAUGCGUGGAUCUCGAGAGGAACACCGAUGGCGAAGGCAGCUUCUUGGCUCAUUCCUGACGCUGAGGUACGAAAGCGUGGGUAGCGAACAGGAUUAGAUACCCUGGUAGUCCACGCCGUAAACGAUGAUCACUGGAUGUCAGUUUUGUUUUACAAAAUUGGUAUCGUAGCUAACGCGUUAAGUGAUCCGCCUGGGGACUACGGUCGCAAGGCUAAAACUCAAAGGAAUUGACGGGGGUCCGCACAAGCGGUGGAACAUGUGGUUUAUUCGACGCUACGCGAGGACUACUAGCUGACAUGCUUUGAUCGCCAUAGAGAUAUGGUUUUUGGGCUUCGGAUCAAACAACUGCACAGGUGCUGCAUGGCUGUCGUCAGCUCGUGUCGUGAGAUGUUGGGUUAAGUCCUUUAACGAGCGCAACUCUUGCCGUUAGUUGCUACUUAUUUUUAAGGCACUCUAGCGGGACUGCCUGGGAAACCAGGAGGAAGGUGGGAACGACGUCAAGUCAUCAUGGUCCUUAUGUCUAGGGCUACACACGUGUUACAAUGGCCAGUACAACGAGUCGCAAGCUUGCAAAAGUUAGCUAAUCUCAAAAAGCUGGUCUAAGUUCGGAUUGGGGUCUGCAACUCGACCCCAUGAAGUUGAAAUCGCUAGUAAUCGCGUAUCAGCAACGACGCGGUGAAUACGUUCUCGGGCCUUGUACACACUGCCCGUCACACCACAAAAGCUGUUUGUACCCGAAGCUAUCUUAGCUAACUCUUACGAGGGGCGGAUAUCUAAGGUAUGGGCGGUGAUUGGGGUGAAGUCGUAACAAGGUAGCCGAU